rnacentral:rRNA from 1 species
GACGAACGCUGGCGGCGUGCCUAAUACAUGCAAGUCGAACGAGUUGCGAACGGGUGAGUAACGCGUGGUAACCUGCCUCAUAGCGUGGGAUAACUAUUGGAAACGAUAGCUAAUACCGCAUACUGUCCGAGGGACCUGGGUUGUAUUAGCUAGUUGGUGAGGUAAAGGCUCCACAAGGCGACGAUACAUAGCCUACCUGAGAGGGUGACCAGCCACACUGGAACUGAGACACGGUCCGUACUCCUACGGGAGUGAGCCGUGGGUAAUAGUGCACAAUGGGCGCAAGCCUGAUGCAGCCAUACCGCUUGGAUGAAGAAGGCCUUCGGGUUGUAAAGUACUUUCAGGGGGGAGGCGUUACCCGCAGAAGAAGCACCGGCUAACUCCGUGCCAGCAGCCGCGGUAAUUC